UAUAAAUUAAGAGCAAGCCAUGAAAUUUAAAAUAAAAAUCAAUGUUAUGACAUAUGAACUUUUUUAUUUCUAUUUAAAUAUUAUGAAAGUGUAAAUAUAUCGUCAAUUAUGAACUUUGAAUAUUUACAAUUGUUUUUAUUUUUUAAUCUAAUUUAGCAUGAAAGUAUACAUUGUAAGAGUAAGAUGUAAUAAUAAAUAAAUAAAACUAGUUAUGAUAAAAUAAAUGCUAACGAUCAUGAAUAUCAUGUGCCGUUGUAUAUUUAUAUGACUUACCAUGUAUUAAAUAUUUAGUAUUAUGGUUCCCCUCAAAAAAAAAAUAUUUAGUAUUAUGGUUGUUUAUUUAUAGUUUUCGAAUUUGAAAUUGGUCCAAUUCUAGGUAUAUAAUAAAAUUGGCCAAAAUUAAAGUUUCCAAUUUAGGAGUAAAAAGUUAUCGUUCCAAAUUUCACUUUAUCUUCUAUUUGAACAAGUCAACUCUCACUCCUCCUAGAAUAAAUAGAGAUAUAUAUAGAAAUCCAUUGUAACAAAUAUGAUAUCAUUGAUUCACUCAAAUAUUUAUAAUAGAGCAGCUAGAUAGCAAUCAAAAGCCUAUACAAAUCUAGAACAAUUUGAUGGGUUAAUGUGUACUUGUGUAGAUACAUACUAAUGUGUACUUGUGUAGAUACAUACUCAUGUAUACUUGUAUAGUUGUAUAGAGUUAUAUAUUUCGUUUCAUAGUUGAAGUCAUAUAUAGCUGCAUACAUUAUAGUGUUAUACAUAUAGUGACUAGUGUGGUCCAUGAAACAUCAUUACAUCAAUUAAACAAAAUAACAAAUCUUCUUCUUUUCUCUCUCUCUCUCCUCUGCAAUAGUCUACAACUCUACAUUAGCUUCACUGUAUAGUAGUAGUAAGCUUGAAGAAGCUAAGAAAAUGGCGCAAGGAAGUAAGCUUGAAGAAGCUAAAAAAAUGGCGCAAGGACUCCAACAACAUCAAUCAACUUCACCAUCUCAAUUUUCAUGGCUAUAUCUCCGACGCCUCGUCAAUCAAUCAACUUGAAUUUUCAUGGCUAUACCAACACAGCACCAUGAACAGAACCAGCCAACAAGCCCGGUCAACCCGUCCAGCCCACUUGAAACCGCUCCAUCCCGUCAUUAACCGUGAAACCCGUCAGCCCAGCCCAGACCGCCCCAUUAACCGUCAAAAACCGGUCCAGACCGAGGUGGGCCGACCUUCUAGGACCACCAACACAGCCCGCCCAGCCCGUCUAAUUCGCGGUCCGGUCAUGGGCCCCGUUCCGUCAGCCCAGCCCACCUAAGCCCGCGGCCCAGCCCAUCCAGACCGCACCACUCCCCACCUCUAGGUAUCAUCAUGAUCACAAUAUGUAUAUCAAAAAGUAUUAUAACUAUACAUUCUACCAAAUUUGUUUAGUUAUGUUGUUUCAAAAGAAUUUAGGGGUUAGAUGAUAUUGUUAUAUAAUAUAGUCAUAUAUAAUGUUAAGUGAGCAAAUAUUUUCCCAAAAAAAAUUUGUUUUAGAAUGUCAUUCAUACAAUUUUUCCGCCUAAAAGGUUUAGUGAUUCAUGUCAAUGUGUCACAAUAAAAAGAUGACCCGAAAUUAUUCUUGUUCUUAUCUUAUGUGAGUGGUGGGUUAUAAGAAUUCAAUUCGAUGGACCCCAUCAUGCAUAUUGUAGGUCUAUCAAGAUUUGUUACUCUCUUUCAUUCAUUAUAAUAUUAUGCCUUGGGAGUAUGUAAACUUUUAAUGGUUUUAUGGUGAUGGUAACAAUGGGAGACAUAUAAAAUAAAUGAUGCCAGAUUCUUUUUAUAGAAAUAAACUUUAUCCAUUUGUAAAUAAGCGUUACAUUCACUUUUUCACGUAACGCAAUGCACUUACUUUAUUUAUCAUUAAUAUAUUUGAUUGAUGCACAAGGUAGAAUUUGAAAUAGUUACUAUUUUUAAAUUAUACAUUAAAACGAAUCUAAGAAUAUGCCACUUGACUAUGACUUUCUUUAUCUAGUAGCGAGAAGAUUGAGUCAAAGUUAGUUGAUGAAUAGUGUCAAUUACUUAAUCUGCUUAUUUCGAACGGAUGAAGUAUUUUAUAAUAUAAUACAUGUAAAAUUUCUUAGUCGAAAAGUUUGAAGAUUCAUACCGAUUUUUUCUCUUUCUCUUUCUCUUAAGAGUAUACGAUUGAUCAAAUCAAUUUAGAAAAAUUAAAAUGACAAAUAGAAGAAAAGUAAUAUUUUUAAUAAAAUAUGAGAAUAUCUUCACAAAUUCUAUCGUAUUGUAGAGUUGAGAUUUUCAGCAAGAUACAAUUUUAUCUUAUUAGUUAUUCUUUCCAUUUGAAGCACAUCUGUCGGUUCAUAUCUAUCCACUUAAUAUAUAUAACACAUUUACUGUCUUAGAGGAUCGAUUAAUGUAUAUAGGGUAAUUUUAUUGGCCUCGUUGUUUGGAUUUAUUUAAAAUGCCUAGCUAAUUAGUCCGACGAACUUCUACGAUGAUCACAAUUGGGAAAGGGUUAGUUGGAGAGGACGAGACAAAAAAAGACCUGCAUAUUCCGUUGCAUUGUCGAAGCAAAAACAUAUUAUUAUAUUUAAAUAGUACAUGAUCGCAUAGGAAAUGUGAAAACUAGUGCAGGGAUUGAGAACCCAUGUUUUAUUUAGUUAUACUAGCUAGCUAGUAACACUGCACCGAGAUUAAUUGGGAACCAUCACAAUUAGGUUCAACCCCAAACAUAUUGACUUCAAUAGAGCCAUACUGUCCAGCAAUGGGUUUUUUAUCGCUUUGGCCGGCAGAUUUGACUAGAAACACAGCUUUACCGUUUGCAAUUUCAUCGUCAGGAGAAAUAGUAUCAUAAUCCAUCAAGUGAGCUGUAAUCUCGAGUUCGCUUGCUUCUGCAGGCACAACCACCUCAUCCCUUUCUAAGGGAAUGAAUUCCUCAGGCCUAACCUCAAUACGUUGACUUUGGCUCUUAUCGAAUAAUACAAACUCAGAACCGAUGCCGAAGCGACCUGCUAUUCUUCCAUACACAUCUGCUGGAUCUUCUCCAUCUCCGUUGAUGAGCUUAACACUAAUGGUAGCUUGAACAUUGUUACUGAACUUCACUAUCAUCUCUUUACAUUGCUUAAUGCUGGCCAUCUUUAA